rnacentral:rRNA from 1 species
UACGUAGGGUGCGAGCGUUAAUCGGAAUUACUGGGCGUAAAGGGCUCGUAGGCGGCCAACUAAGUCAGACGUGAAAUCCCUCGGCUUAACCGGGGAACUGCGUCUGAUACUGGUUGGCUUGAGUGUGGGAGAGGGAUGCGGAAUUCCAGGUGUAGCGGUGAAAUGCGUAGAUAUCUGGAGGAACACCGGUGGCGAAGGCGGCAUCCUGGACCAUUACUGACGCUGAGGAGCGAAAGCCAGGGGAGCAAACGGG